rnacentral:lncRNA from 1 species
UAUGACAUAAAUGUAGAUUUACAAAGAUUCCCAUCUAAGUAAAAACAACAUCACAAUUUAAACUUUUCACAAUGAUCAAAUUAUACUUUCUCUUAUUUUAUUCAUCGUUCACACAGAAAAAGUCCUAGGUAGAUUAGAGAAGCUGUUGCAUCAGUGCAUUGAUCUGGAUGCUCUGUGCUUUGCUACCACAACAGUUUCCUGUUGCAUAAGAUUCACACUUUUUAAAGCGAUCAUUAAAAUUAAAAUCAUGAAUGCAAUCACUAUUUGUAGUACCUAGUAUCUAUUUAGUUGUGGUUUGCAGAAACUUCUAUCAUUUUUUUUCUCAGUGAAUUCUAAAAGGUUCAUUUAUUUCUCUGAAGUGUGACCUUUCUUUUCUGCAACAAAACAAAAAUAUUGGUGGGCAGUCCAAAGCUGGCACCGAGGUGACUUCAACCCAGAAGAUCCAUUCAUUCAAUAGCUAUUUGUUGAGCACCUUGUUUUUUCAGGCACUGUUCCAGGAACUUGAGAUACAAUGUUGAACUGAACAGACAAAUAACCCUGCCUUCAGGGAGCUUACAUUCUAGUAUUAA